AUGAGGGAAUGCCAGCUGUGCUGGUGUGUGCCUUCUUUCAUUUGUCUUUUCACAGGAGCAGUGAAAGAAUGUCUGCUGGGUGGAUCUUUGAGACGACAGAGCGUUUCAGUCUGUGAACAUUUCAGUGAAUGCUCUCUCCGACACAUGCAGUCAGUCAGCGCUUCAGCAGCAUGGGGACUCUUUCUAGUCUGCUCUUUUUACUUCUAACUGUACACUCAGUCAAUGCGCUGAAGUGUUACGUGUGUGGCUCUGCAACAUCAAAUCAAGAAUGUA